rnacentral:rRNA from 1 species
UUCGUAGGCGGUGUGGCAAGUCGGGAGUGAAAUCUCUGGGCUCAACCCAGAGACUGCUUCCGAAACUGCUGUGCUUGAGUGUGAGAGAGGCUCGUGGAAUUGCAGGUGUAGCGGUGAAAUGCGUAGAUAUCUGCAGGAACACCCGUGGCGAAAGCGGCGAGCUGGAUCACUACUGACGCUGAGGAACAAAGCUAGGGGAGCAAACA